UAUGUUUAUGUGUAAGUAGCGUAUUUAAAAUACAACCAUAUGCAUGUUUGUAUAAAUGUGGGUUUUAUGUUUGAUUUUAUUUCCCUCCAUAGAUUUUCUGUACCUAAGUGUCUGUCUCCAGUAAACAAAUACCAAGUCUAACACAAAGCCUGGCACAUAGUGAUAUCCAUAAAUAUUCAUUGAGAGAAUGAAUCAGUGGAAGUCAACAGCUUUUUCUAAUCAUUAAUUAUAUCAGCUCUUAAGUCAUCUUGAGCAAAAAAGUACAGAAAGAAGAAAACUAGGAGCCUUAAAAAUUGCUUUUUUUUUCUCUUCUAAAACUUCAUGGGUUUAUGAUCUGCCUUCUCAGGGAAAAAGCCCCCAUUCCUCUCUGUUUGUUUUGGGCUUGAAACAGAAAGAAUAAGGUGGAAAACUUCUGCUGUUCACUGCUAUGGCUGCCCACUAAUAGAGAAGCCCCAGCUCUCCCAGGAGAAUACCUGUCAGUAAAACCUUGCUGUCCAGCCAGUGAGGUGGAAAAGUAAAACUGUGACUCAUCUAACCUUCAUCCAGCUGUGUCAUAAUUGCCAUGUACAGGACAUCAUACUGGAUGCUAAAUGUAAAUAAUCACAGCUAUCUGUAAAUCAGGUCCCCACCUCCGGGACUGCAGAAUCUGGAGGAAAAAUAAAGAUUAAAAUACACAGAGAACAAUACUGAUUUUCAUUAUUGAAAUAUUCAAAUGGCAACUGAGUUAUCAAAUUCAUCAAAGAAAUUAUAUGUUGAAUAUGACACAGAUUUAUUGAUACUGCCAGAAGUCCAGUGAGAAUGGAAGAUAAAAUUCCUUGCAGCUUGAACUACUGGAUUAGGAGAUUUCUAAAUGCAAUUUGCUAAUGAAGACAACACACUGCUGAGGAAAAUUCAUAAUGUUUGUUGGCUGAUGCAACUAACUUGAAAUAAAGCAUUUUCGGAGUACAAAAUAAUGAAAAGGUGAUUAAGCUCAAGUUUGAAAAAGACAUAAUUAAGUACAAGUUGUGUUUAGGGGCCAUGGAGCUUUCAGUGUUUGGGGUAUAAUUAAUAAAAAUGUAUAAAGGAAUAAUAGAAACUCCAGCACUAUAAAAAGCAAUCAAAUUGUUGAGAUCUUUAAAUAAAAAGGCUUUUUCAUUUUGUAGAAAUACUAUUUGAAUAUACAAAUGAACUUAAUAAAACAUGAUUUUGGAAAUGUGUAUGUGGUAUUAAUCUAUAUAAGAAACUGCUUGGUGUGAUUCAAUGAAGGAUCUAUCUGGAAUAAAUUGGAGAUCCUGGGGACAGGUGUCCGAGUGGGUGAUGAGAGGAAAGAGCAUGUAUUCAACUCUGAACCUUGUGUCUGUGUCUGACUUGUGAGUUGUUGGGAUUUCUCAUAGAGUCAACACACCACAGUAGGGCUGGUCAACAGAUUUUCUCAGGCACUCAGGGACUCUGUGUGGAAAGUUGCAGCUGAUGUUGCGGACUAUUGAGGCUAAAGAUGUAUGAUUCCAAAUAACAGCUCUACCAUGACACAGAAAGAAUGUAUCUGGGCUUUUGAAUAGUCUCAUUAAACAAAAAAAAUUAAGUUUUAAAGCCUUGGACAGAACAAGUGUUCAGUAUUUUCCUGUUUAGUGGAAAUUUUUUGUGUAUGUGUUUGUGUCUCUGUUUGUCUGUGUGUCCGUGGGUAUAGCUGUGUCUGUGUUGUGCUCCUGCGUGACUGUAAGUGUGCAAGAGCACACGUGGAUUCAAAGGUGAGAGGUGGGUGCCAGGUGUCUUCCUCAGUGAAUUUCCACCUUAGUUUGUUGAUGCCGAGUCCAUCUCACUGAACCCAGAGCUCACCAAUUAAGCUAGGCUGGUGGCCAGCAAGCCUCAAGGAUGCCCCAUCCCACCUCCCAGAAGGAGGUUACAAGUGUGCACCAUGAUGUCCGGCCCUUUGAAUGGAUGUUGGGGAUCCGAACUCAGGUCCUCAUGCUUCCAUAGCAAGCACUUUACCUCCUGAGCCAUCUCCCCAGCCCCAAUGAAGACUUCUAAAAUGAGUAUUAGUACACGUCAAGGUUCUCACCAUGCAAGGAGGCAUUGCUGAGGCUCCAUAUUUCUCCAAUAGUUUUGAGAGCAUCAGUUUAAGGUUAUCAUCAUUUUCUCAUUUUCGAUGUGAAUUAUUAGGCCAAGACAUGAUUCAGUACCAUUUAUGUACCCUACAACUAAGCUGUGAAGACCCCUUGGAAUCCCUGCUUGAACAACUAAACCAUACAGUUAAACUAAUUUGCCCUUGGUUAGUAACUCUACUAUUCUCUUUCUUUGAGCAGAGGUAUAUUCUGUAUAGAUAUACAAUUUCUUCUGUACACAUGAUAUGGCAUUAACAUAGGAAAAUAAAAUCAAGCAGUGGUUCAGGCACUUGAAACACACACACACAUACACACACACACACACACACACACACACACACACACACACACACACACACCGUCCAUUCUGCCCAAGACACCAAGGCAAGAGCCUUUGUUGUAUUUACCUGUGAACUAGUAUAUACUGAUGUUGGAAUUCUGAAAACUUAUGUUUUUGAGAUUAUAAAUGUAUUUUAUUUGGUAGUCACAAAAAUAAAGUGUACUUGUUAAAAUAUAAAGACACGGUGAAGUCAGAAAAGAUCAUCUAGACAGUAGAACUGAAAAUACAGGAGUUUGGUGAAAAAAAAAUUUCACUUGAGGCACAUGUGGUUUUGAUUGCUACAUAAUAAACUUGUUUCGUAAAUGGGAAAAGUACAUAUUAUGGUCAUAAAAUCAGGAGAUUUCUCUUUCUGGCAGCUAGAUAUACAAUAGAGUUGUGUGAGAGAAGUUAAAUGGGUGUUGCAAUAAUCUAAAUGUUUAUUUAUUAAAAGCAAUAUUUAAGAUUCUACAGCAUUAAUAGCAAUUUAUUAGAUACAAAUGAAUGUUUGUUUACAUGAACUAGGGCAGUGGCUACAGAAAUGGAAAUGAUGCUGUUGAAUAUUAAUAAGGUGAUUAAACCAGUUCAGGAUGCACAUUUACUUGAGGCUGUUAGGCCUACACUACCUCACUUUACAGAUUUGAAGAUGAUCCACAUUAUUGGGAAAUUUUCCCAAAAUUAAUGACAAUAAGAACCACGAGGGGGAUUCAGCUAACAGUAGCAGACCCACCACACACCAGUCUGUGUCUAAAUGGCACAUGCUUCUGACAGAAAGACACCCGGCUGAGGGAGGAGGGCUGGGCAGGAGGAAGCCAUGCAAGCCACUCAAAGCUUUAUCAAAGGCUCCAUGUCUUCAGUCUCGGAAACCAAAUCCAUCCCAGUACCCCUGCAAAGCAUCAGAGAGUAUGAGUGUGCUCAAAAGAAAUAAGUGGACCAAAUGGGCUCUAUUAUUGGUCAUGUCUGCUUUUGUGGCUUUAGGUAGAAGGUGAUUUCCAGGGGUCUCAAAAGCUAUCCCCAGUUUUUCUUAAUUUGAUCUGUAACAUUGUGGAAGGGAACUAUCAGGCCGUCACAGUGGCUGUCAGUGAAGAAGGGAGCUUAUUUGAAAAUCAUUUUAAAUCCUUCUAUGUGACUUUAUACCUCUACUGAUUUUUUUUCCUAAAAAUGAUGCAACACUCAGAUUGUCAGAA